GCCAGGCAAGGUGGCGCAUGCCUAUAAUCCCAGCUACUCUGGAGGCUGGGGCAGAAGAAUUGCUUGAACCCGGGAGGCAGAGUUUGCAGUGAGCCGAGAUCGUGCCACUGCACUCCAGCCUGGGUGACAGAGCAAGAUUCUGUCUCAA
rnacentral:SRP_RNA from 2 species